rnacentral:rRNA from 1 species
CCGGAAACGGGUGCUAAUACUGGAUAUUCACUGAUCUUCGCAUGGGGGUUGGUGGAAAGGUUUGUUCUGGUGGGGGAUGGGCUCGCGGCCUAUCAGCUUGUUGGUGGGGUGAUGGCCUACCAAGGCUUUGACGGGUAGCCGGCCUGAGAGGGUGACCGGUCACAUUGGGACUGAGAUACGGCCCAGACUCCUACGGGAGGCAGCAGUGGGGAAUAUUGCACAAUGGGCGAAAGCCUGAUGCAGCGACGCCGCGUGAGGGAUGGAGGCCUUCGGGUUGUAAACCUCUUUCGCUCAUGGUCAAGCCGCGACGUGGGUUGUGGUGAGGGUAGUGGGUAAAGAAGCGCCGGCUAACUACGUGCCAGCAGCCGCGGUAAUACGUAGGGGGCAAGCGUUAUCCGGAUUUACUGGGUGUAAAGGGAGCGCAGACGGCGAAGCAAGUCUGAAGUGAAAUGCAUGGGCUCAACCCAUGAAUUGCUUUGGAAACUGUUUGGCUUGAGUGUCGGAGGGGUAAGCGGAAUUCCUAGUGUAGCGGUGAAAUGCGUAGAUAUUAGGAGGAACACC